ensembl:lncRNA
CUUUCUGCUUGUCUGGAAACCUGGAACCUGUGCUAGGGUUGCGGCUGCUUCUCUGCACCCGGUUUUGUUUUGCUGACUGCUGUGCUAUCUGCACUCCGUGUUACAAAACUGAGUAGAGCACAACUCUCUAGGUGAUUGGUCUCAGAAUGAGCCAAGUUUGUACUGUUUUCAUAAUCCUCUGUGCCAGUUAUCUGCCAUUGUUCCCUCCAGCUCACUCUUCAUCCUUCUCCACUCUUCUCUCUGCCCUGGAGGCUGACUUACCGUGUACACAGCAAGAGGUCCUCCCUUUCCCUUGGCUUCGGCCAGUGUGUGGAGUGGGGAGGCCAGCAGGAGAAUGAGGCCAAAGGUAUUUAUUUUCCUGGCUCCUCGCUGCAAGGAUCCCUAGGCUGGCUUUGGCCUUGGACCUCUCAGGGUGGUCCUUGCUACUCAACUUCUGGUUCAGGUUCCUGUCCCCCCACCCUCCUGCCUCACUUCAGGCCUCUUGAGCAUUAACAUACCUGGCUCCCCUUUACCCACCCACACCUUCAUAAUUAGGCCCUUUGGUGAUCUGUAUAAAAUGAGCUUGGGUUAUCCUAGUUUGAGCGUUGGGGCCUGAUAACACCUCCCUUUUGCUAAAAGUUUAGAAGUAUUUCUAUAGAGCUGGAAUCAUUGUUCCAGUAUUUCUGAACAUCUUGCCAAGGAGUGACCUAUCGGACCACUUUCUUUCCUCUUGAAACAAUUUGCUGUUACUUCCUCUCACUCAUGUUAUGAGUGCUCAGUGGCAUCCAGGGCACUGACCUGAGGCUGGCUUACUGGGAACCCUGAUGAGAGAUCAGGGGAGAUGAUGUUCUUUCCAGGACAUUUUCCUCCUCUUUCUGAGACUCCAAAACAUGACACCACUUGAUUGUCUAACUUCCAUUUCAUUGACCCAUUUCUGGGCUUAGCUGGUCUAAGAGGCAAGUGUUUUUCAUAAAUGCAAGCAUGGGAUUUCAUUGACAUGCUGCCCUCAAGUCCCACAACUCUCGGAAUAACAGUGAUUUCAAAAAGAUAACUACCUAUUAUAAUCAGGUUCCUACAGAUAAUAGAAAAAUAAAAUAAUCUAUCAGGUUACUAGUAACUGUUUAACUGUUAAUAAGUUAACAGUUUUUAGCAAGUAACAAAUUAACAGCAAUGUAAGUGCUGGAUGAGAAGUGCAAAGUCUUCAAAGGGAGGGAGCAGAUACAAGAUCCAUCUGGUUGUCAGGAGUCAGAAAUCUUGAUGGAGGAGGUAGCACUGAACUGGACCUGAGCCUUAGUCACAUACUGGAUCUGGGUCAAGUAUGACCUGAACAUAGGGGCAUGAUGAGGCUUAGAGGUGAAUCUUGCAUCCCAGCAGACAGCUGUUUUUGUUGGCAUACAGUGCUUUAUACUAAUUAAUAACUCAAACACUUGUCAGAUACCUGCCUUUUGGGGUCAGCACGUGGUACUGAAAAAGCAAAAUGUUCAGGCCUUCGAGUCAAAACUGCCAAGGCUUGGGUGCCACUCUCCUGGGUAGGAUCUCUCAGGAAUUCACAAUCUUCGAUGGGUCUGUUUAGACUGACUCUCAAGAGUUGGCUGAAGUUCAUGUGCAGCAGUGUAAAUGGACCUAGGGAACAUCAUGCCAAGUGAAGACAGAGAAGGACAGAUACAAAUACCAUACAAGACCGCUUGUAUGUGGAAUCUAAAAGAGGACACAGUGAACUCGUCCACAGGACAGAAGCAGAAUCAGACUUGUGGUUGC